UACGGAGGAUCCUAGCGUUAUCCGGAAUUAUUGGGUUUAAAGGGUCCGUAGGCGGCUUGAUAAGUCAGCGGUGAAAGUUUUUGGCUUAACCAAAAAAUUGCCGUUGAUACUGUUUAGCUUGAAUAAUUGUGAAGUAACUAGAAUAUGUAGUGUAGCGGUGAAAUGCUUAGAUAUUACAUGGAAUACCAAUUGCGCAGGCAGGUUACUAAUAAUUUAUUGACGCUGAUGGACGAAAGCGUGGGUAGCGAACGGG
rnacentral:rRNA from 1 species